GACCUGGAUAAGGGCUAGGGGGGCGCUGGCCCAAAAAAGGUUGAGAAACACUGUAUUAGACGUUUUUUUGGUUCACUCUGAGAACCUUGUGCUAAAGAAGAUUUGAACCCUGGGAUUUGGAUUAUUUCCAUAAAUGUAUUUGAAACCUUUACAUUUUCAGUCUUUACAUUACAUUUUUAAAAAGUUAGAAAAACUGACUGAAAAGUCUUUAAAAUCUUGAAGUUCAAAGAAGUGGUCACAAUAAGCAAUUCAUCAGUUAUUCAUAGAAUAAAUUAAAAGGGGAGUGAUAAUUUACAUUCAUAGACAUCAUAAUUUCAUUUAUGGUUUUGGUUUUAUGAAUUUUUUUUUGUUUUAUGUAUUGUUUUUUGGUUGUGUUUUUUGGAUGCUUUCCAGUUCCAUUGUGACGUUAGUUUGUUGGUCGUUGAGAGGUUGAACAUUAUUAUGCCAUUAUCGAAGCAUUGCUUCCAAAUAGUCUCAAACUAUUUUAGUCUCAAACAAUAUUAUCGUUUAUCGUAAUAUUGUUCAGCAAAAUUUGCUAUCGUGACAGACCUAACAUUACUAUCUUAAUGUUGAGUUUAUAGCUUUGUGUUUUAACUUCUGCCGUCUCCCUCGUAGUGUCACUCAGAGUCCAGUCGCUCGGAAGACGUGUCCAGUGAGGGGGAGGAAGAGGAGGAUGACUCUUCCUCACUGUCCAGAAGCUCGUUACGCUCCUGCUCCAGAGCCGAGCACAGCGCUCCUCCCUCCGACAGCUCGGCACCUGGAAGUCUCCUGAUCGAAGGGGCCAGCUUCCUCUCCGCGACUCCGGCUCAGUGGAGCGUGGAAGAAGUCUGCAAGUUCAUCUCCUCGCUUCAAGGUUGCGAGGAGCUGGCGGCCCAGUUUCUGUCGCAGGAAAUAGACGGACAGGCUCUGCUGCUGCUGAGAGAAGACCACCUAAUCUCCACCAUGAACAUUAAACUGGGUCCGGCUCUGAAGAUCUGUGCCUCAAUCAACAGUCUGCGCGAGUGAUGGCUGGGCCCUCAUUUCUGACGCCUCACUUGGACUAGAUUGUGCGGAUGUGUUGGUUUACAAACAGUUGAUCCCUAUCAAUCUGAAGGUGCCUUUCAGACCACAUGAACCUUUUAAUCCAGUUCAUCCUCUUUGAUGUUUCUCUUGUUUUAAGGUAGGAGCUUUCUUAAAAGCCCAUGAGUGACAUAAAGGGAUGUGAUUGAUUCAGUUAAGAGGUAGGAUUGAUUGACUGAGCUACAGUUUGUUCUCAGUGCCUCCUAAAGCCCUUAGAGAACCUUUAAGUUACUGGGUCCCAGAACGCCCACAGUUCCUUGCUAAACUAUUUUCCCCCCUUGAUUUUUUUUUUUCAUAUUUUGUCUCAUUGCAACCACAAACUUUGAGUCUUUUUCUGGGAUUUUACGUCAGCCAACACAAAGCAACACAAAAGAGCGGCGUGCAUUGGGAUUCAUACUCCAUAGAUCUACCUUUUGUUUGUUGGAGUACGUCUCUACCUGCUUCAUCCUCUGUAGAGGACGUUGCCAUGGAGAUCCAUUUUCCUUCAGCUGCGCAGUUCUGCUGUACUGUGUGUUGGUCUAUCGCCGUAAACGGUUGUUGUCUUAACGUGAUGAAAUGGGGAAAAACUUUUAAGGGGUGUGAUUACUUUUCUUUUUUCAAGGCACUAGAUAGACAGUAUUCUUUCUGGACUCUGAAUGUGCGGACUUCUGCAUACUGGUAUGCGUAAGCCGCUGAUGUCAUGAACUGAAGUGUUCCUUUCAUAAGUGUUUGUCUUUUUCUUUGAAACUUGGUGUAAUUGUAUGUGGACUCCUUGAAAACUCCAACUCUCACUGCCUGUCAGGUGGUCCUGCGUAAACAUCUCACUUCAAACAGUAUUUUAAAAAGGUGCUUCGGUCUUCAGGUUGUUUGUGACAAUUACAUGUGUUCGGUCUUUUGUUGUAUUCUGCUUAUGUUUUUGUUUUUUUUGUCCUAGAUGCCAAACCCAGGCUUCAAUCACAUCACUGACAAUGACACUCAACAAGCCUGGUGUUUUAGUAGUUUUUUUUGUUUGUUUGUUUUUUAAUAGUCAUGAAGAGUUUAGUUUUGUAUUUUCUCAUUUUUAUAGUACAAUCAGAAUUAUUUUUUUCAUGGGACAAUAUAGUUGUAGAAGCUUUAAUAAAGUACCUGGAGGCGGCUACUGAUGCUCUGCUCUUUCAAGGGCUAAAUGGAAGUGCUCUCUGUAUGUGUAUGCAGUACUAUCAAUAAACAUUACUGGAACUGA